rnacentral:rRNA from 1 species
UGGGGAAUUUUGGAUAAUGGGGGAAACCCUGAUCCAGCCAUCCCGCGUGUGCGAUGAAGGCCUUCGGGUUGUAAAGCACUUUUGGCAGGAAAGAAACGUCAUGGGUUAAUACCCCGUGAAACUGACGGUACCUGCAGAAUAAGCACCGGCUAACUACGUGCCAGCAGCCGCGGUAAUACGCAGGGUGCAAGCGUUAAUCGGAAUUACUGGGCGUAAAGCGUGCGCAGGCGGUUCGGAAAGAAAGAUGUGAAAUCCCAGAGCUCAACUUUGGAACUGCAUUUUUAACUACCGAGCUAGAGUGUGUCAGAGGGAGGUGGAAUUCCGCGUGUAGCAGUGAAAUGCGUAGAUAUGCGGAGGAACACCGAUGGCGAAGGCAGCCUCCUGGGAUAACACUGACGCUCAUGCACGAAAGCGUGGGGAGCAAACAGG